UCCAAGCCCAUGUGUGAUCCGAUUCUUCAGGUACACCAAGGCAAGAGCCCCGAAUACAGAAAGCCCUUUGUUCUUGCCACAAGGUCGAGGGCCUAACUGAGCUAGUUAACACGAGCUGCCUGUAGAUGGCAGACUAGAGAGUAUCCUGUAACACAUGCCCAUUGGGGCUUCAGGAGCUGUAAACAUUCACCCCUAGACCCUGCCCUGGGGUAGGAGCUCCAUAGCCUGCCGAUCUGUGUGCUCCCUAGAGGUCUCAGCAGCGGGGCGCUGAAGAAAACAGUCACUCCCCCAUCACGCGCCCUGAGAGGGGACGAGGGAGCCUUUCCCUUUUCAGCUGGGGACCUCGACCGGGAUCCUGGAAGUGUCAUUAAAGGAUACAUUAUUGGUAACUUCUGGAAUGGAGCAAACACCGCUAUGGCCUGUGCAAGAUCAGAAUGUGGUUUCAUUCAUUCAUAUCAGAAUCGUAUUAACCAGGCUAACCAAACAAAGGACAGCGUUAUCAGAUUGAGAAGCGGGCAGCUUUUCUCAGGUCACACAAUCACAAAAGAAUGGAUGAGGAUUACAACAAAUCAGCAGCUGGCUUUGUAGAAGACCUGAGAAGUCGUAUCUGCAUACGUUAUAUUUAAAUUUCAUGUCAGCUCCAAAAGAGAAUUUCAAUAACUUGCCUAAGGUACCAGAAAAAGUAAGCAAACGAUCUUGAAUUUAAACUUAGAAGAGCCUAACUACAACUUGUGUCAAUGUUCUUCUUCCUGGACCACAACAGUUUUUCUGUUAUUUGAUACUUUGCUGCUCUCAACAUAAAUGUCUUUGGAUGGUGGCAAAGUUAUUGCCCUUAUGAGAGGUGUUUUAUGAAUAAUUUUGAAAAUACACAUAAAAAUGUAUUUUGAAAACAUAUAUUAAUGCUUUCCCUUUGGGUUUAUAUGAAAACAAAAUAAAUGGAAAGAAGUUUCAUUGAGGUGGCAGUAUGUUUUUUAGUCCCCAAUAUACUGUUGCUCUCAGGACAAAGUAAGGUUUUAAAAGUAUGUCCUUGAUAGUUUUAAAUAUUUUAAAAAUUAAAAUACAUUUUAAAAUCUUAACUGCAUAUUGUACUUUAAAGGUUUCUGCUAUUUGAAAGAUAAUGCAGCCUUGUCCUUCAGGAAUGUCCUACAAAAUGCAUUUUCAAAAAUUUUCUCUUUUUUCCAAGAACAUUAUUCACAAUUACCUGGCAAACAUUGAAGUCUGUCCUUCAGUUGCCAUUUAAAACAUUAAUUUUCAUCUUAUGAAUAAGUCUUUAAUGUAUUUCACAAUUAAUUCUGAUCUUUACUGCUGUAUAGCUUUAAAUUUAUUUCACUGAAUAAAUCUUUCAUGUAUUUUAAUUCCAAAUUAUGGAUAAGUAUACUGUUGCUUCAUUACAUUCCACAACAUUCCCAUUUAAAUCCCAUAUUAUUAAUCAAGACAUCAAUUUCCUUACAAGUUCUUAGUAAGUAGAGCAUUUCUGUACUGAAUGAAGGUAUUUACUUCCUGUAUAUUGUUUUCAAAGAUCAAUUGUUAUUAAAUUUGUAUUGUAACUGACAUGCUGACAUAUACAAAUAUUCAUAUGAAAAAUAAUUUAUCUAUAACAGUAAAAUAAUGUGCUAAAACAAUGGACAAAAUAUGAGUAUAUGGAGUAUCUCACGAAUAAUAAAAAAUAGUGCUAAUACAGUUUCUCCUGAAAACUUUUUAAAAUGUUAAGUGAAAUGUAACUUUUCAAAAGAACUCUAGUCAUUUAUAGCUGUGGGAUUGAAUUGUUAUAUAACUCUAUUUUCAGGUACAAAAUCAUAAAACUAUUUUUUUCUGUCUUUUAUUUUCAUAUUUUUAGGUUAUUUUGAGCAGGAUAUUAAGACUGCCACUGUG
ensembl:lncRNA